UAUCUUACUGAGUAUUCUUUUUACUCAUAGCAUUCCAUACUAAAUUUUCAAAUCCAUAAUUGUGGAGUUGGUGGAAGUCAGUCGGCAUAAUCGAUGAUAGGUUAAGGACAAAGUUAUUUUACAUCGAAGUUUCUUCUUUGUAUGUUUUGUUUGACUGCUUUCCAUAUGUUUUUCUUUUGUUAUUAUAUAAAAACAUGUAUAAGACAUGAUGUAAUAUGGUACCGGAAGUAAAUUAUGUAAUC
rnacentral:lncRNA from 1 species